rnacentral:tRNA from 1 species
GCGAACGUAGUUCAAUUGGUAGAACGCAUCCUUGCCAAGGAUGAGGUUGCGAGUUCGAGUCUCGUCGUUCGCU